CCCUCCCUCUCUCAGGGGAUGAAGAGGGAAAGGGGGAGAUUAGGGGAGGCUCUGCUCAGCUGUGGGGCUCAGAAGUCAGGACCAUUGAUGACCUGCACCAUGUCCUGGUCCCCUCUCCUCCUAACCCUCCUCGCUCACUGCACAGGGUCCUGGGCCCAGUCUGUGCUGACUCAGCCGACCUCCGUGUCUGGGGCCCUGGGCCAGAAGGUCACCAUCUCCUGCACUGGAAGCAGCUCCAAUAUCGGGGGUGGUAAUUAUGUGAGCUGGCACCAACAGCUCCCAGGAACCGCCCCCAGAAUGGUCAUCUAUGGUAAUAACAACCGACCAUCGGGGAUCCCGGAUCGAUUCUCUGGCUCCAAGUCUCACAGCUCAGCCACCCUGACCAUCACUGGGCUCCAGGCUGAGGACGAGGCCUAUUAUUACUGCACAUCAUGGGACAGCAGUAUCAAUGCUCACACAGUGCUCCAGGCCUAUGGGGAAGUGAGACAAAAACCCACGUGCUCAUCUCUAGAGGGGGACACACGCCAGCAGUUCCUGUUCAGCUUAACCUGUGAUGCUCCGAGUGGAGACAGCCCUGGUGCAGUGGAGACGUUGGACACAGACCUCAGUGAAGAGCCACAGCAUGGGGUUCUGAGUGAGUGUGGCAAGGAGUCGGAGGCCUAA